GCCGGGCGCGGUGGCACGUGCCUGUAGUCCCAGCCACUCGGGAGGCUGAGGGGGGAGGAUUGCUUGAGUCCAGGAGUUCUGGGCUGUAGUGCGCUAUGCCGAUCGGGUGUCUGCACUAAGUUCAGCAUCAAUAUGGUGACCUCUCGGGAGCAGGGGACCACCAGGUUGCCUAAGGAGGGUGAACCAGUCCAGGACGGAAAUGGAGCAGGUCAAAACUCCUGUGCUGAUUGUAGUGGGAUCGUGCCUGUGAAUAGCAACUGCACUCCAGCCUGGGCAACAUAGUGAGACCCUGUCUCUA
rnacentral:SRP_RNA from 1 species